UCUGGUGCUUUUUAAAUAAGAUAUGUUAUUCUAUGUUAUUCUAAAAUGAUUUUUUGAAAACGCCUGCAGAACUUCGGCAGCACCGUCCUGCAAUGUAAGCAGCGACCCCCCACCCCCCCUUUUUUUAGGCUUGCGGGAGAAAAUUUCUGGGGCCAGGACCAGGCUCCUCCUCCCUGGCUCCUUUCGGGCCGCCCCUUGGCCACGCCCCCAUACCGACCCUUUUACUCCAGUACCGCCCUCUUCUCCUUUGGUUGCUGAGAAAACCCGGAAGGGUGGACUUUCAACACUGACGUUCCCGGUGGCUCCUAUGCCAGGCUGGGCCUGUUCCGCCGCCGGGUCAGGGACUGCUGACAAGGAGAGAGGCGUCUUUAAGCAACUCCCAGCCUCUCUCCUCCUGCUCUCGGUCCUUGGCAAACGGAACAAAGUAGCACCUCCGACCCCCUGCCAGGAGCUCGGACCUGCAAAGUGGGUCAGGACUCGACUGAGCAUGCUCCGGACAGUGCCAGAAUGCCGCACGCGGCUGCAUCUCGUUGCCCAAGGUUGAUGUAGCUGCGCUCGCUCGUCACGACAUCGAAGAAUCAGCACAGUACGGCCACCAAAGGUGGAGAGUCGUAGAUGUGUGGAUCAGGGUCAGGAGCAUUCUGGAUCAUUUUUCGGGUUGGCAGUGGAGCUAAAAGCCCAGUUCUGCCAUGCAAGGUAGUCUGUCUGCCAACCUAUAAGCCAUGAGAACAAGAACAAGAAGAGUCAAGGAGCGCAGUGUGAAUACCUCGCAUCCGGCUGAUGUGGCAAACAAACAGAUGGUUGAUAGAGCAGGGGCACGGCCCGCCCUCCCCUGAUGGGAACCCAGAGAGGAGCCUCAUCCGGCCCCUUUUGCUGUUUCACGGGCCUCCACCAGCAGCCGCACUUGAUUUCAAGUUGGCAAAAGAAGUUUGACCCAGAGUCUUUGGAUGUAUACAGCCUCUGCUUGCAACAGUUUGUCUGUCCCCUGCUCUGACAUUCCAAUAGACGGCUACAUCUGGAUACUCCUACUGGAUUUCACUGUAUCUGUUUGUACCUGUACAACACUGAGUCAAGCCUGCAGCAAGCACAGGUCUGGAAGCUAUCACAGAUUUCAGGAUCCUCCCACCAGCUCCUUCAGGCAACAGUCAGUAAAGUCCUGAAGCUACUGUGAAUAACAAGCACCUAUCCCCAGGGUAGUGGAAUCAUCAGGUUCAUCUCAGUGUUCCUCCAGGCGCUGCGGCUUCCCAGGCUCACCUACGUAACUCCCACCGGUUGUCUUAAAAAUCAGGACUUGGGCUUGGAGCCAGCUAAUGUGAGCUCGGAGAUUUAAAGGAAGCAUUGAAUCCAAGUAGAUGUUCUCAGCAGCUCCGAGAGCAAAUAAAGAAAGUGUUUGAUUUUGAAGAAUCAGGCAUUGGGAGUCUGUACCACUGCUGCUGUCUAUUGGGAGACGGUGAUCGUGGAAAGUGGCAUGCAUAUAUAGUGAAAAAGAACCUAAAAAUCCCUUAUUCUGCAGAUCCUUCUCAGACAUCACUCCAGCCAGCCACUGCCAAGAGAUUAUAGCUGACACCUACUUCACAUCCCUGGUAUGAUGUUUAAAAAACUAUGAACUAGGAUCUGAAGUUCAAGAAGACCAUCAGCCCCUGACUCACUCUGUUUGUCCAAAUGCAUGGUAUAGAGCACUAGCUCCUAUUUUAAAGAAGCUUUAAAAUCCAGCUUGUGGCUCUCCAUUUCCUGUCUCCCUUCGCUCUAAGACUGGCAAUGCUCCAGGUAGAGGCUGCUUCUCUCAGCUUGGGGCUUGGGAUGGAGAUGACCCGGAACAGAGAAGCUGUGUGGUCGAUACGUGGAGUGUGAGAGCAAGAAACUUUCUAGCCAACAAAGAAGACUUUAAUAAAGUAUAAUUUGUAGACACUCCAUAAAUUACCCGUUAUCACUGGAAGAAGACCAGCUAGGAAAGUCAUAAAGCAUGUGUUCCAGCUUGCUUUUAUGAAUGGAUAAAGAAGAUGUGGUAUAUAUAUACAAUGGACUAUUAUGCAGCCAUCAAAAAA